UUUUUAGUGUAAGUAUGUACCAUGCAAUAUUGGGGGGAUACUUAUACUAAAA
rnacentral:pre_miRNA from 1 species